UACGUAGGGUGCGAGCGUUAAUCGGAAUUACUGGGCGUAAAGCGUGCGCAGGCGGUGAUGUAAGACAGUUGUGAAAUCCCCGGGCUCAACCUGGGAACUGCAUCUGUGACUGCAUCGCUGGAGUGCGGCAGAGGGGGAUGGAAUUCCGCGUGUAGCAGUGAAAUGCGUAGAUAUGCGGAGGAACACCGAUGGCGAAGGCGGCAUCCUGGACCGACAUUGACGCUGAGGAGCGAAAGCUAGGGGAGCAAACGGG
rnacentral:rRNA from 1 species